UACGGAGGGUGCAAGCGUUAUCCGGAUUCACUGGGUUUAAAGGGUGCGUAGGUGGGUUGAUAAGUCAGUGGUGAAAUCCCCGAGCUUAACUUGGGAACUGCCAUUGAUACUAUUGAUCUUGAAUACCGUGGAGGUCAGCGGAAUAUGUCAUGUAGCGGUGAAAUGCUUAGAUAUGACAUAGAACACCAAUUGCGAAGGCAGCUGGCUACGCGAAUAUUGACACUGAUGCAUGAAAGCGUGGGGAUCAAACAGG
rnacentral:rRNA from 1 species